ACUGAUUCUUUUUUAUGUUUCACUUUAGUCGGAUGAUGACAUAUCCACCUGGCAUUACAUUUCUGGUUUACAAUAAACAGUACUCGGAAUGAGUCAAAUCUGGUAGACUCAGAGCUGUUUUUCUGCCAGAUCAACUGGGCCUUUUAGAAAUUUGAACACACCCUGCCAGAUCUGUUGGAUUUGUUCUGGACACCAGGUCGUAUUGGAGAAUGAGCCAAGUGGAAGGCCAUCUCCAUAAAUAAGUAUUAUAAAAGAAGGAAAACGAAGUGUUGAAGUUAUACUGAAAGAGUAGGACAACUCAUUUUCAUCAAGGUGCUUAGAAAGAUUUGGAAGAUGGACUUCAUAGAGGAGGUAACAGCUGGGCUUGGCAAUAACAAUGGGUCAUAGUCAUCUAGUCUGUUUAAUGCAGCCACUACUCAAA